rnacentral:rRNA from 1 species
UUGAACGCUGGCGGCAUGCCUUACACAUGCAAGUCGAACGGCAGCACGGGAGCAAUCCUGGUGGCGAGUGGCGAACGGGUGAGUAAUAUAUCGGGAACGUGCCGGUCGUGGGGAUAACGUAGCGAAAGCUACGCUAAUACCGCAUACGAUCUACGUAUGAAAGCGGGGGAUCGCAAGACCUCGCGCGAUUGGAGCGGCCGAUAUCAGAUUAGGUAGUUGGUGAGGUAAAGGCUCACCAAGCCGACGAUCUGUAGCUGGUCUGAGAGGACGACCAGCCACACUGGGACUGAGACACGGCCCAGACUCCUACGGGAGGCAGCAGUGGGAAUUUGGACAAUGGGCGCAAGCCUGAUCCAGCAAUGCCGCGUGCAGGAUGAAGGCCUUCGGGUUGUAAACUGCUUUGUACGGAACGAAACGGUGAGCUCUAAUACAGUUUGCUAAUGACGGUACCGUAAGAAUAAGCACCGGCUAACUACGUG